AUUGAACGCUGGCGGCAGGCCUAACACAUGCAAGUCGAGCGGAUGAAGGGAGCUUGCUCCUGGAUUCAGCGGCGGACGGGUGAGUAAUGCCUAGGAAUCUGCCUGGUAGUGGGGGAUAACGUCCGGAAACGGGCGCUAAUACCGCAUACGUCCUGAGGGAGAAAGUGGGGGAUCUUCGGACCUCACGCUAUCAGAUGAGCCUAGGUCGGAUUAGCUAGUUGGUGGGGUAAAGGCCUACCAAGGCGACGAUCCGUAACUGGUCUGAGAGGAUGAUCAGUCACACUGGAACUGAGACACGGUCCAGACUCCUACGGGAGGCAGCAGUGGGGAAUAUUGGACAAUGGGCGAAAGCCUGAUCCAGCCAUGCCGCGUGUGUGAAGAAGGUCUUCGGAUUGUAAAGCACUUUAAGUUGGGAGGAAGGGCAGUAAGUUAAUACCUUGCUAUUUUGACGUUACCAACAGAAUAAGCACCGGCUAACUUCGU
rnacentral:rRNA from 1 species